rnacentral:sRNA from 1 species
AAUAACCAAAUAUAAUACUUGGGCUAAGGGUCAAGUUGGUAAUUUUUCUUACAUCUCCCCCUCCCGGAUAAUAUACGCCCCCUUUAAUUAAUUAAUAUCAUAAAUAAA